rnacentral:lncRNA from 1 species
GUGCUAUAAAAAUAUCAUUAUUAAUGAUGAUUGACUGGGUUUUCAGAGCCAAGAUAUUUCAAGGCUGCUAAGUUAGAGUUGAGUGCAAAAGCGGGGGUGCUAAAAUGGCUUCAGGGUUCCUUCACUUUGUUUCUUCAUUGAUUUUUAAGUAACAUGUGAACACAGUCAAAUUGAUGAUUUUCAUUUUGAAUUAGUUUGCCCUCUGUCAUGCAGAGCCUUCCAUCUUUUCCUGACUGUCAGUGCCUAAUUCAUCUUCAUCAAGUCCCCAGCAGGAAGAUUCAGAUCUUAUAUUACUCUUUGUUUUACAGUUUUAUUGUUUACAGGAAAUUGGGACACAGAGAAAAAUAGAGAGGAAUCUACCCAAGCUUUAAGUAGAACUACUCAAGGGGAGAAGGUACAACUCCACUUCUGGGCCUGGAGAUUCCUGAAAGAUAUUCGGUCUUGGUCUGUGUAAAUCUCAUACUUUGUACCUGAUGCCUUCAUGAACCUAGAAGUGCUCUCCCUUUUACAGAGGAGAAACUAAGGCUAAAGAAAAGCAUGUACGGAAUAAGCAAUAACCAUAUUAGAUUUCAGUAUGAUCAACUGUUACCGUAAAAAUCUUGUAUUUUGCUCUAUUUUCAGUCACUGUGAAGGCUGGGAAAAAUGACAAGUAUGGUUUUUUAAAGUGUAAUGAAAAUGUGCUUGAAAACAUCACAAAAAUAUUGUUUAGGUGAGGCCCAAGGCCCAAGUUAGAGGACUUCUUUAAGGACACAGAGGGAAAAAGAAAAAAUGUCAACACCAACAAAACCUAUCAUUUGCUGAGCAAAAAUCUCCUUCCUACCCCCUGAAGCGCCUUAACUCUCCACCUUCUGUUUCUAACAGUUAGAGCUGCUGCAGCUUCUGAAGAUUCAUUCUUGCAGUCCUAUGGGAAGUCACCAGUUUGUUCUUUCAACAGUGUGCCAAAAGUGGAAAAAGGAAGAGUUUAAGCAACUGUCAACCAGGAAACUUUCUGUUUGUUUAUUUUUAAAAAAGAAGACUUAUCAAGCUAGCCAAGAAAUUUUGUUGAAGUUACAGGCUGUCAUUCUUUAUAAUCGCUCUACUUUCUUUUUCUUUCUGAAUCCUGCAUUUCCAUGGAGGAUAGAUAAUCUUGGGCAUUAUCCUCAUUGGCUCGGCUUAGCUCUGUCCCUUGGGGUCCUGCUGACUCUAUAAACUUUCAACUCCUAAAUCCAAUGCUGGCUCACCCAGGAAAGAAAAAAGCAAACUGAACAAUAAAAUUCAAGCUGUAGCUUCCGUUGUGACUCAAGAAUAAAAAAUGUUAAUGGCCAACAGCA